UACGUAGGGUGCGAGCGUUGUCCGGAAUUAUUGGGCGUAAAGAGCUCGUAGGCGGUGUGUCACGUCGAUCGUGAAAACUUACAGCUUAACUGUGAGCGUGCGGUCGAUACGGGCAUCACUGGAGUUCGGCAGGGGAGACUGGAAUUCCUGGUGUAGCGGUGAAAUGCGCAGAUAUCGGGAGGAACACCAAUUGCGAAGGCAGGUCUCUGGGCCGAUACUGACGCUGAGGAGCGAAAGCGUGGGGAGCGAACAGG
rnacentral:rRNA from 1 species